rnacentral:lncRNA from 1 species
CCUGAUUCUACAGUCAGAUUCUAGAACACUACAAACCACAGGGGGCUGCUGAGGGGAGGACGGAAUGGUCAUCACCUGAUUCUACAGUCAGAUUCUAGAACACUACAAACCACAGGGGGCUGCUGAGGGGAGGACGGAAUGGUCAUCACCUGAUUCUACAGUCAGAUUCUAGAACACUGCAAACCACAGGGAGGGGAGGACGGCACAUAAAAAUGGCCAGAAUUAAGUGAAUGGUAUGGUAUAAAACACGUGUUUGAUGUAUUUGAUACCAUUCCACUCAUUCUGCUCCAGCCAUUACCACGAGCCUGUCCUCCCUAAUUAAGGUGCCACCAACCUCCUGUGCUACAGACACUGCCGGCCUUUGUUAUACCUUUUCUAUACUUGAGACUGAGGAGACGUUUCAUAUUGGCUGGUUCCCAAAUGACACCCCAUUUCCUAUAUAUCGCACUGCUUUGACCUGGACCCUGGUCACAAGUAGUGCACUAUAAAGGGAAUAGGUUGUUGAUGAUUCAUUGUGAAUUCAGCGAUCUGACCUUUUGAACCCACUUAAAUGUUGUCCCUCUCAGGGUCAGUCUCUCAGCACAUUUGAAACCACAAAGCGGAGCGCCACAGCAUUUAAUAUGGAAAUAGUCAUGAAACACCAUUAGUAGUAAAUCCAGUUCUGGCACUUGUUAUACUGUGAAUGUACAUGUCCUUUACAUGUACUGCUGAUGCAUUGAGUAGAGAGAGUGUAUUAUUAAAGCUACAGCACUGUUGUGGUUUUAUUAUGUCUCCCAAGUGGCACAGCGGUCUAAGGCACUGCAUCUCAGCGCUAGAGGCUUCACUGCAGACCCUGGUUCGAUUCCAGACUGUAUCACAACCGGCUGUGAUUGGGAGUCCCAUAGGGCGGUGCACAAUUGGCCCGUCAUUGUAAAUAAGAAUUUGUUCUUAACUGACUUGCCUAGUUAAAUAAAGGUUAAAUAAAUAUGUCUAAUGCUAUUUAUGAGGAAUAAAUCCUUAACUAUCCCCUUACCAAAAUAUCAAGCCAUUACGUGUGGCCCAAAUGUCAUUAUGAAUUGUGUCAUUAUGAACUGUGACAUUAUGAACUGUGACAUUAUGAAUUGUGUCAUUAUGAACUGUGACAUUAUGAAGUGUGACAUUAUGAACUGUGUCAUUAUGAAUUGUGACAUUAUGAACUGUGACAUUAUGAACUGUGACAUUAUGACCUGUGUCAUUAUGAACUGUGACAUUAUGAAAUGUGUCAUUAUGAAUUGUGUCAUUAUGAAUUGUGUCAUUAUGAACUGUGUCAUUAUGAAUUGUGUCAUUAUGAACUGUGACAUUAUGAACUGUGUCAUUAUGACCUGUGUGAGCCACUGGCAUUUGUUUUCUGUGAGUGUUCAGCCCUUCUGUCCAUAGGCUUUGAUUAAAGAGCAUGUGGGCUAAAUAUCAACCACAGUUUCAGUGAUUUGUGAUUUGCUCACAGUAGGCCCAUAGGGUUAACUCAGUAGGCCCAUAGGGUUAACUCAGUAGGCCCAUAGGGUUAACUCAGUAGGCCCAUAGGGUUAACUCAGUAGGCCCAUAGGGUUAACACAGUAGGCCCAUAGGGUUAACUCAGUAGGCCCAUAGGGUUAACUCAGUAGGCCCAUAGGGUUAACACAGUAGGCCCAUAAGGUUAACACAAAGAUGAAACAUAGUCUCCCUGACCCACUUCAACAAUACAGAUGUAGACCAUGCUUGCUGAUAAAUUAUCAAAAAUAUUGUUCAAGUACCUAAUGCUUGACCGUGCCUUGAGCUCACCUCUGACCUGGUAUGAUAUUUGUUGUCAUAAUGUUCUGCAUAUGGGAAAUGACAUUGACCAAAAAUACUUACAGCUGCAUAAAUCUCUCAUUGAACCAGAC